rnacentral:rRNA from 1 species
GAUGAACGCUGGCGGCGUGCCUAAUACAUUCAAUUCGAGCGAACAUACGAGGAUCUUGUUCCUCUCACGUUAGCUGCGUACGGGUCAGUAACACGUCGAUAACCUACCUAUAAUUCUUGGAUAACUUCGUGAAACCGUAGCUAUAACCGGAUAAUAUAUUGAACCGCAUGGUUCAAUACUGAAAGACGGUUUUGCUGUCACUUAUAGAUGGAUCCGCGCCGCAUUAGCUAGUUGUUAAGGUAACGGCUUACAAAGGCAACGAUGCGUAGACGAACUGAGAGGGUGAGCGGCCAAACUGGAACGGCGAGACGGUGGAGACUAAUAAGGGAGGCAGCAGUAGGGAAUCUAGCGCAAGGAGCGUAAAUGUGACGAAGAAACGCCGCGUGAGUGAGAAAGAUCAGCGGAUCGUAAAACGCUGUUAUUAGCGAAGAACAAAUGGGUAAGUAACGAUGGACGUCUGGACGGUAACUAAUCAGAAAGAAACGGCUAACUCCGUG